CCUCUGGCUGAGUUACUGAAGCCCUCAAAUGAUGGUUUAAAGACUAAGUUACAGAGAAUCCACCAUUUAUACUAGUUUAAACCUGCAAGUGAGCCAUGUCCCAUGCUACAGAGGAAAGCGAACCUCCUCCCCAAAGAGUCUCUGUCAAUCUGAUCCAGGGGGGAAAUUCCUUCUUGACCCCCAAAUAUGGUGAUCAAUUAGACCAUGAGCAUGUGGGCAAGUCUCAC